UACGGAGGGUGCAAGCGUUAAUCGGAAUUACUGGGCGUAAAGCGUGCGUAGGUGGUUCGUUAAGUCCGUUGUGAAAGCCCCGAGCUCAACUUGGGAAUUGCAGUGGAUACUGGCGAGCGGGAGUGCGGUAGAGGAAGGUGGAAUUCCCGGUGUAGCGGUGAAAUGCGUAGAGAUCGGGAGGAACACCAGUGGCGAAGGCGGCCUUCUGGACCAGCACUGACACUCAAGCACGAAAGCGUGGGGAGCAAACAGG
rnacentral:rRNA from 1 species